rnacentral:rRNA from 1 species
GACGUAGGGCGCGAGCGUUGUCCGGAUUUAUUGGGCGUAAAGAGCUCGUAGGCGGCUCGUUGCGUCGGCUGUGAAAACCCGCAGCUCAACUGUGGGCUUGCAGCCGAUACGGGCGGGCUGGAGUUCGGUAGGGGAGACUGGAAUUCCUGGUGUAGCGGUGGAAUGCGCAGAUAUCAGGAGGAACACCGGUGGCGAAGGCAGGUCUCUGGGUCGAUACUGACGCUCAUGCACGAAAGCGUGGGGAGCAAACAGG